GUGCUCACUUCAGCAGCACAUAUACUAAAAUUGUAACAAUAUAGAGAAGAUUAGCAUGGACCCUGCACAAGUAUGACAUGAAAAAUGGUGAAGGGUUCCAUAUUUUU